AUAGUUACAGCUCUGGUUAGACUAUCACGGAGUAACGUAACGUGGCAGCUCGUCUGCCCUGCGGUGAAUGUUGUCCAGAUGGACCUGAGAAAGAAAGAUGAAAUCGUACGCGCAAAAAAUGAAGGGAAGGAGUUGACCAAAGAGGAGAAGCAACGGCUGAGGAAAAAGAAGAAACCACAGAAGAAACAGAAAGGAAAGGAGGAUGAGAAGCACCAGUCAGAAAGCCAGAAAGAAAAGAAGUCCGUCACCCCAUCAUUGUUCAAGCCUGGUUCCGUAUUGUAACCAAAUGCUGUAGCCAACUCUUAUUUAGUUGUCGUCUUAAAUGUUCUGAUUGUAUCAUUUCAAUAUCUUUGAAAAACAAAUACCAAUACUUGUUUUACUAAUUCCCAUAAACUGCUAGCUUCGUCAUUGGUCCAUUUACCCAUCAAUCCUAUCCAGCAUCCACUUCAUCGGUCAAUGCACCUGUCUGUCUCUGUCCCCAGCUCCCACAGCGUUACCUGCCUCUGCCUCUGCACCAAUACCUGUGCCUGCAUCAGGAGCUCCCUCCCACUCCUCUCCUGCCCCCCCUCCCCAGCAGACAAGCCAGAGAAAAGCAGAGCUGAGCUGAAGGCAGAGAGGAGAGCCAGGCAGGAAGCUGAUAGGGGCUCCUCCAGCAAGACCAAGGCCCCCUCCCAGUGAACUAAACCCAGUGCUGAAAAGACUUCCGGAGCGUGUCCCAAGUGGACGACCCUGCAGUGGUGAAAAAUACUGGCCAAGAAAUUGGAGCGACAACAGUGUUCCCUCUACAGUGAUCCCACCCCUCCAUCGUGCGGUUGGGUCUGCAGUACUCCCAGGGUAUCGUGGCGGGAUCCAACGCUCGCUCUGUAGCGCCAAGCCUUCAAACAGUUUUCUCAAUCAAUGUCGCCCCCUGUCGGCGAGCAUUGGCAACGCAAUCAAGUACAUCAAGAAAGAAAUCUCUAAUAUUCCUAGUCGGUGCAAAGAAGAGGAGCUCGUCCCUGGUGAACCACAUCCUGUGCGAGGCGUUUGAUAAGAGCAGGUAGUUCCGUGUGAUCAUUGUGGACAGCCGGUCCUCGUCUGGAGGGAAGGGAGGCUCUGAGACGCCUCGUACAGAGAGGCAUCAGCUGCACCUACGUCCUCAUCUCUGCCCUCUCAUACAUACUACCUGAGGUAACCUAGUCCUCAUCUCUGCCCUCUCAUACAUACUACCUGAGGUAACCUAGUCCUCAUCUCUGCCCUCUCAUACAUACUACCUGAGGUAACCUAGUCCUCAUCUCUGCCCUCUCAUACAUACUACCUGAGGUAACCUAGUCCUCAUCUCUGCCCUCUCAUACAUACUACCUGAGGUAACCUAGUCCUCAUCUCUGCCCUCUCAUACAUACUACCUGAGGUAACCUAGUCCUCAUCUCUGCCCUCUCAUACAUACUACCUGAGGUAACCUAGUCCUCAUCUCUGCCCUCUCAUACAUACUACCUGAGGUAACCUAGUCCUCAUCUCUGCCCUCUCGUACAUACUACCUGAGGUAACCUAGUCCUCAUCUCUGCCCUCUCAUACAUACUACCUGAGGUAACCUAGUCCUCAUCUCUGCCCUCUCAUACAUACUACCUGAGGUGAUUACAAAACAGAUGACCGCCCCCUGGGGGACUGGAGGUGUCAUUGCACUGUGGAAUUUAGAAUGGAGGCUUUUAGUGUUUUAGGCAUUCGUUGAAUUAUAAUAAUAAAUAAAAUAAUUAUCACAAA